AGGCCAAUCAAACCCGGAGAUAUCUCGUUCUCCCCGAAAUAGCUUUAGGGCUAGCGUCGCGCGUUCACCGCCGGAGGUAGAGCACCGGAUGGACGAGGGGGCUUCGCCGCCUACCGAAUCCAACCGAACUCCGAAUGCCGGCGGCCCAGAGCGCGGCAGUCAGAGCAUGUGGGCUAAGCUGUGUGCUCGAGAGGGAAACAGCCCGGACCGCCCGCUAAGGUCCCCAAGUUCCAGCCGAGUGGCAAAGGAUGUGCGUCCGCCCAGACAACCAGGAUGUUGGCUUAGAAGCAGCCAUCCAUUCAAAGAGUGCGUAACAGCUCACUGGUCGAGUGGACAUGCGCCGACAAUACACGGGGCUAAGCUGGACACCGAAGCGGCGGGAUUUUAAUUCAUUAGAAUCGGUAGGGGAGCUUCCCAUGGGCGGAGAAGCCGGAGGGCGACCGACGGUGGAGCGCAUGGGAGUGAGAAUGCUGGCAUGAGUAGCGAGAGACGAGAGAGUAACUCGUCCGCCGUGAACCCGAGGUUUCCUGGGCAAGGCUAAUCCUCCCAGGGUCAGUCGGGGGCUAAGGCGAGGCCGGUAGGCGUAGCCGACGCGCAGCAGGCAGACAUUCCUGCACCGCGCACGCGGCGCUACGACCGACGGGGCGACGGAUGGGGGUGGCUCGGCGGGGUUCUGGACGUCCCCGUGAUGGAGCGCGGCCCGCGGACCAGGGAAAUCCGGUCCGCACGAGGGCGAGGCUCCGGACGAAGCGACUGAGCGAAGCGAGUGAGCCCGAGGUCCCUAGAAAAACCCCUAGGCAGGCGCGUGCGCGCCCGUACCGCAAACCGACACAGGUGGGUGGGUAGAACAUACCGAGGCGAUCGGGUCAACCAUGGUCAAGGAACUCGGCACAAUGGCCCCGUAACUUCGGGAGAAGGGGUGCCCGCGCGUACGUGAACGGACUUGCUCCGGGAGCGGAGGCGGGCCGCAGUGGAGAGGCCCAAGCGACUGUUUACCAAAAACACAGGACUCUGCAGAAGCCGCAAGGCGACGUAUAGGGUCUGACGCCUGCCCGGUGCCGGAAGGUCACGCGGAGGAGUUAGCCAUUUCGGCGAAGCCCCGAAGCCAAGCCCCGGUAAACGGCGGCCGUAACUAUAACGGUCCUAAGGUAGCGAAAUUCCUUGUCGGGUAAGUUCCGACCUGCACGAAAGGCGCAACGACUUGGGCGCUGUCUCGACCAUGGACCCGGUGAAAUUGCACUGGUCGUGAAGAUGCGACUUACCCGCGGAAGGACGGAAAGACCCCGUGAACCUUCACUGCAGCUUGGCAUUGGCCGCUGGUCCCGCGUGUAGAGGAUAGGCAGGAGGCAUCGAUCCGGAGGCGCCAGCCCCCGGGGAGCCGCCCUUGGAAUACUGCCCUCGCGCGACCGGCGUCCUAACCCGAGGCCGUCAACCGGCUCGGGGACCGUGCCAGGCGGGCAGUUUGACUGGGGCGGUCGCCUCCUAAAGGGUAACGGAGGCGCGCGAAGGUCCGCUCGGGACGGUCGGCAACCGUCCUUUUGAAUGCAAGAGUACAAGCGGGCUUGACUGCGAGGCCCACAAGCCGAGCAGGUGCGAAAGCAGGCUCUAGUGAUCCGGCGGCCCCGAGUGGGUGGGCCGUCGCUCAACGGAUAAAAGGUACUCCGGGGAUAACAGGCUGAUCUUGCCCAAGAGUCCACAUCGACGGCAAGGUUUGGCACCUCGAUGUCGGCUCAUCGCAUCCUGGGGCUGGAGCAGGUCCCAAGGGUACGGCUGUUCGCCGUUUAAAGCGGUACGCGAGCUGGGUUCAGAACGUCGUGAGACAGUUCGGUCCCUAUCCUCCGUGGGCGCAGGAGAAUCGAUGGAGGCUGCCCCCAGUACGAGAGGACCGGGGUGGACGCACCUCCGGUGAACCGGUUGUCGACCAACGGCACGGCCGGGUAGCCGCGUGCGGCGCGGAUAACCGCUGAAGGCAUCUAAGCGGGAAGCCGUUCCAGGGAUUAGUUCUCCUUCCGGUAAGGGCCCAGGUAGACUACCUGGUCGAUAGACGGCAGGUGCAAGGACGGCGACGUCCUCAGCCGAGCCGCACUAAUCGCCCGAGCUCUUCCGGAA
rnacentral:rRNA from 1 species